rnacentral:rRNA from 1 species
UACGUAGGGGGCUAGCGGUGUCCGGAUUUAUUGGGCGUAAAGAGCUCGUAGGUGGUUCGGUAAGUCGGAUGUGAAAUCUCCAGGCUCAACCUGGAGGGGUCAUUCGAUACUGCCGUGACUAGAGUUCGGUAGAGGAGUGUGGAAUUCCUGGUGGAGCGGUGAAAUGCGCAGAGAUCAGGAGGAACACCCGUAGCGAAGGCGGCACUCUGGGACGGUACUGACGCUGAGACGCGAAAGCGUGGGGAGCGAACAGG